rnacentral:rRNA from 1 species
AUGGAUACGAGUAACCAUGAUGAUGGAUAUGAGUCAUGUACUGAUUCUGAGGAGGAGGAGGAGGAGGAGGAGAUGAUGUUUCUUGUCUUCCCGACAAUAUAUUGUAUAUCUUCUAGGAGGGAAAAGAUUCCAGUGAACACAUCCAUUCUUACGGGAGCUAAGUAUAUCCGAGAAAUAUUGGAUGGCCACCCUCAACGGUGCCUUGAUAUUCUUAGGAUGGAAUCCCAUAUCUUCCAACUUCUAUGUGACCAUCUUAGAUCCAAAAAUCUUCUAAAAAAUUCAAAAGGAGUCAGUGUUGAAGAGCAACUAGGGAUGUUUAUGUACAUGCUAUCCAGGAAUGCGAGUUAUCGUACGUUGACUGAUAGGUUUCAGCACAGUCCUGAAACGGUGCAUAGGCAUAUCAAUGGAUGCUUCAACGCUAUGAGAUCAUUGGCAUUUGACCUUAUCAAGCAUAGUUCGCUAGAUACUCAUUGGAAAAUAUCAACAAAUCCCCAGUUUUGGCCUUUCUUUGAGAACUGCCUAGGGGCAAUAGAUGGGACUCAUGUUCCCAUGACCAUUACAUCCAACGAGGCUGCUCCAUACAGGAAUAGAAAGGGGACCAUCUCCCAAAAUGUGAUGGUCGCCUGCGACUUCGAUCUCAACUUUGUUUAUGUGUCAGCUGGUUGGGAGGGGUCUGCCUCAGAUGCUGGAGUAUUGAAAUCUGCUAUUCAAUCAGGCUUCCAUGUACCUCCGGGCAAGUAUUAUUUGGUUGACGGAGGCUAUGCAAACACACCACAGUUUCUAGCUCUGUACCGUGGAGUUCGUUACCAUCUAAAAGAUUUCGGUAGAGGUGGCCCUCGUCCAAAGAACCCCAAAGAACUCUUCAAUCUAAGGCAUGCCCGUCUACGGAACCAUAUAGAGCGUACAAUUGGUGUAUGGAAAAUGCGAUUUCCUAUUUUAAAAGUUGGCACACAUUACCCAAUUGACACUCAAGUCAAAAUUCCUAUGGCGGCAGCUGUAUUUCACAAUAUAAUCCGGAGUCACAGAGGUGAUGAACAAUGGCUAGAUACGCAACAAAUGCAAAUUGACCCUCUUCUAUUUGUCACUCUUCCUGAUGGAGAUGACAGACCUCGACAUGUUCCUACAUCCUCAAGCAAUCAAAGGGACCUUGGUAAUUCUAUGAGAGAUGAAAUUGCCAACAGGAUGUGGGCGGACUAUCAAAGAAUUCGAAGUGAAAGAUCGUCACGGAGAUCUACUAGCUAA